UAAGGGCGCACGGUGGAUGCCUUGGCACUAGAAGCCGAUGAAGGACGUUACUAACGACGAUAUGCUUUGGGGAGCUGUAAGUAAGCUUUGAUCCAGAGAUUUCCGAAUGGGGAAACCCAGCAUGAGUUAUGUCAUGUUAUCGAUAUGUGAAUACAUAGCAUAUCAGAAGGCACACCCGGAGAACUGAAACAUCUUAGUACCCGGAGGAAGAGAAAGAAAAUUCGAUUCCCUUAGUAGCGGCGAGCGAAACGGGAAGAGCCCAAACCAACAAGCUUGCUUGUUGGGGUUGUAGGACACUCUAUACGGAGUUACAAAGGACGACAUUAGACGAAUCAUCUGGAAAGAUGAAUCAAAGAAGGUAAUAAUCCUGUAGUCGAAAAUGUUGUCUCUCUUGAGUGGAUCCUGAGUACGACGGAGCACGUGAAAUUCCGUCGGAAUCUGGGAGGACCAUCUCCUAAGGCUAAAUACUCUCUAGUGACCGAUAGUGAACCAGUACCGUGAGGGAAAGGUGAAAAGCACCCCGGAAGGGGAGUGAAAUAGAACCUGAAACCGUGUGCUUACAAGUAGUCAGAGCCCGUUAAUGGGUGAUGGCGUGCCUUUUGUAGAAUGAACCGGCGAGUUACGAUUUGAUGCAAGGUUAAGCAGUAAAUGUGGAGCCGUAGCGAAAGCGAGUCUGAAUAGGGCGUUUAGUAUUUGGUCGUAGACCCGAAACCAGGUGAUCUACCCUUGGUCAGGUUGAAGUUCAGGUAACACUGAAUGGAGGACCGAAC
rnacentral:rRNA from 1 species